UGAACGCUGGCGGCGUGCCUAAUACAUGCAAGUCGAGCGAACGGACGAGAAGCUUGCUUCUCUGAUGUUAGCGGCGGACGGGUGAGUAACACGUGGAUAACCUACCUAUAAGACUGGGAUAACUUCGGGAAACCGGAGCUAAUACCGGAUAAUAUUUUGAACCGCAUGGUUCAAAAGUGAAAGACGGUCCUGCUGUCACUUAUAGAUGGAUCCGCGCUGCAUUAGCUAGUUGGUAAGGUAACGGCUUACCAAGGCAACGAUGCAUAGCCGACCUGAGAGGGUGAUCGGCCACACUGGAACUGAGACACGGUCCAGACUCCUACGGGAGGCAGCAGUAGGGAAUCUUCCGCAAUGGGCGAAAGCCUGACGGAGCAACGCCGCGUGAGUGAUGAAGGUCUUCGGAUCGUAAAACUCUGUUAUUAGGGAAGAACAUAUGUGUAAGUAACUGUGCACAUCUUGACGGUACCUAAUCAGAAAGCCACGGCUAACUACGUG
rnacentral:rRNA from 1 species